CUAUUCCUACGGGGGGCAGCAGUGAGGCCUAUUGGUCCCUGGGCGAGAUCCUGAACCAGCCAAGCCGCGUGAGGGAAGACGGCCCUAUGGGUUGUAAACCUCUUUUGUCGGAGAACAAAACCCGGGACGAGUCCCGGACUGCGUGUAUCCGAAGAAAAAGCAUCGGCUAACUCCGUGCCAGCAGCCGCGGUAAUACGGAGGAUGCGAGCGUUAUCCGGAUUUAUUGGGUUUAAAGGGUGCGUAGGCGGUCCGUUAAGUCAGCGGUAAAAUUGCGGGGCUCAACCCCGUCGAGCCGUUGAAACUGG
rnacentral:rRNA from 1 species